rnacentral:rRNA from 1 species
UACAGAGGGCCCAAGCGUUGUUCGGAUUCACUGGGCGUAAAGGGUGCGUAGGCGGUCAGGUAAGUCUGAUGUGAAAUCUCUGGGCUUAACCCAGAAAUGGCAUUGGAUACUAUUUGGCUUGAGAGUUGGAGGGGGGACUGGAAUUCUUGGUGUAGCAGUGAAAUGCGUAGAUAUCAAGAGGAACACCAGUGGCGAAGGCGAGUCCCUGGACAACUUCUGACGCUGAGGCACGAAAGCUAGGGGAGCAAACAGG